CGCAGCCGGAUGCACGCAGCCAUCUGAGCGACCGUCUCGCGCGCCGUCGGAUCGCGUGGCAUAGGACGGUGCGGACGCGUUCUUUCCAGGUGUGUGGACGCGCGUGCCUCAGGUGAUUUUUUUUGCUUCCAUCCCCGUUAGCUCGGCGUCCCUGUCUGCUUCCAUCGUUUUCCAUCCCCAUCCCCCUCUCUAGCUCUGACGACGGUGCAGUCGAGUCCGAGAUCUAGGAUCGUGGCAGUGGCGGGGGGACUGGAUGCUGCCGGGACGACCGGCGGCGAGCAUCAUCGGGCGGCGCCGAGCAUCGUCGGCCAUGGCGCCGAGCUACACGACCCCCUUGUUUUUGCGGCGGCGGACGACAGCUACAUGUCAGACGAAGAAGUAAUGGAGUCUGGUACUGCAUUCAGCCAACGUUUUGCAGCAAAACGCUUGCGCGGAGUUGCGAAGACAAAACUCAAUCCCACCAAGAGGCACUACAUUAAUGAAACUGGCUUUGGUGAUCUGAUGACCAUUUCACAUUUCAAAGCGCCACCUGAUCUGAUGGAGUGGUUAACUAUGAACAUUGACACUGAAAAGCGUGAGCUCAGGCUGAGUCGGACUAAGGUGAUUGUGUUUACUAGAGACAUGGUGAAGAAGGUUUUCAAUAUCCCAUCAGGCAACAGACCAGUUGAGCUUUUCAAGAGACACGAGCAGUGUGAGCUACGCAACAUUUAUCAUAAGAAUGGCAGGGCUCCAAUUGCGCAUACAGUGACUGUGCUUCACCGAGCAAGGAAUGAUGAUGGCGAUACUACGAAGAGAUCAUGGGUGCUCUUGGCGCUUGCAACCGUUUUAACUCCAAGCACUGGAAACAUGGUGCCUCUAGAGUACUUGAAAAGCCUUGUAGAAAUGGACAAGGUUGCUGAAUUCGCUUGGGAUGAGCAUGUUUUAAGUGUUGCAAUGAGAGAGGUCAAGAAGUGUCAGGACAAGAUAAAAUCACAAGCUACUUCUUCAUUCUGGGUUAUUUACAUGGACCAUUUGAUAUUUCCCCAAGCUGCCAUCAAUGAGCACCAGCUGAAUUAUUCUCUUCCAAGGGCUUGCUUCGUACAUCAAACGGACUUUGAUCUUGUAUUGGAAUUUGACAAGAACAAGCUAUCUUUGGGCAAAGCUUCAUUCGGGAAGUGUCGUUUUCGCCCUCUAUCGGAGACACCGUACAUAGCAUUGCCUGCCGAAGGCCCGGUAGGCAACAUGACUAAAGUUGAUCAAGAUCAGCAGGUUCCGGACAGCCCGGAUUGUGUUGAUACUGAAGAUUGUGGGGCUGAAAAUGUCAACAUUAAUGACAACCAAGCUGAUGUGGCUGAGGAAGAGAAUCCUACGGAAGGUGGUAGCAAUCCAACGGAACAUGGCAAAAGUAGAGACGAAGAUGUGUGUGGUUCACUGGAUGAUUGGCUUCAGAACCCAGCACCAUUCGGUGCAGAGCUUGAGCUACCAUCACAUCUGGCUGCAAUCUACGACAAGCACACAAAACUAUAUUCUUUAGAGUUAAAAGGGGCUCUAAGCUCUUUUGGGCAAGUGUUGCAAGCAAUACAUUGCAAGAGAAUGGGGCAGCUCCUCAAAGAUGUGGACGCUGCUUCAUCAAGUUAUCAGGGAGCAACGGAUGUUAGUUUUGAUGUGCCACCCCCUCGCAGCAAUGAUGUAGACAAGUCAGAUCGUCAUGGUUGUGUCAAGGAAAGCUAUAGCAAGAAAGCCGCAGAUGAGCCAACAACAGACAAGGUGGUUGAGCCGGGUGAAGGAGCUCGAAGCAACCAUGCAAGCGGCAUUGAUCAUGAGUCUAAUGGCGGCAAUGUGGUUGAGAUGGGCACACGAACUAGUGGUGAAGAUAUUGAGCAUGGUGACCAACUCAUCGAGCGCAAUGACUCUGUUGUCAGUGAGCCCCCUGCACAGUCUUUUGAGAAUGCAAGGGAGAAAGUGUCUAGUGGUGAAGAUAUUGAGCAUGGUGACCAAUUCAUCGAGCGCAAUGACUCUGUGCACACUAGCGUGACUGGACAUUGGAGUGAUGCGCCAUCAAUGUGCCUGUUCCAAGAGGGCACCGAGGAGUACGAUUGGUGGAUUAGUGUCCAAAGUCAAGAUCCGAACUCCAAUGCUCCAACUCAUGGCAACACUGCUACAACACCAAAGUCUUGUGGUGUUUUUGAUGUCACUCCUCAGGCUGCAAUAUCAAGAGAAGUAGAAGCUCCUGUGUAUGAUGUCACACCAAUCUCCAUGGCUCCAUUAUCAAGUGGGGCUGCAGAUGGACCAUCAAAGCCACAAGAAGAGACAGUUGUUCUAGUUAGCAGCAGGGAACCAAGCCCCAACCUUGACGAGGAGAAGUUGAAGAGCAAGGAUGAGAACAAACUCAAGAGUAAGAAAAGAGUAGGGAGUCCACUGUCAGCCGGAUCGAAGUACAAGAAAAUAAAGACAGAUUCGAACACGGAAGCAAUGUACCAGCACUAUGUCAUGAAGAGGUACAAGAUGAAGAAGAUGAAGAGAGGGGAAGUUGAGCCUCCUUUCAUUAGGAUUGAUGAUUUCCACAUUACGUACACGAACUUCCAGAAGUCGUUGAAGCCACGUGCUCAUAUUUGUAGUGAAGUCAUGUCAUUAUUCAUUGAAAGCUUCAACAUUGAACAAUUGUCGUCUUCAAAUAUGCAGAAGAAAUUUGCUUUCUCUGUUUUAAUGAGUCUUCAACUCUCUGUCCACCCAGAAGUAUUUGAUCCAAGUGUUUGUGCAAAAGAGCUGAGGAGGGCAUGCCAAAAUUUUCAGAUUUCUGUUUUUGACCUACUUUACUUCACCAUCGUCUACGAUGGCCACUGGAUUGUUUGUGUCAUUAACCUAUUGCACAAGGAGUUUAACUUGUUUGACUCAUGGGAUAAUGGAAAGUUGGAUAUUGCUGCAAGGAAUCUGUUUACCAAUUUCAAGAGGAUUGCUUCAGAAGAGCCAGCUUUCACAGUGGACCUAUCUUCUUUCAAAUCCGACUGGCCGCUGCUUGACUACCCACAAUAGGCAACUCACUUUGAUUGUGGACUUUUUGCAACUUUGUACUUGGAAAUUUUCGAUGGCAUUAGGAUGAAAGAUUUUAAGAAGCAAAAUAUGCUUGAUGUGCGGAAGACGAUUGCUUCGAAGCUGUUUUCCCAUCCGCUGAACAAGAUCUGCCCUGCUGAUGUGCACAGGGAAAUCACAGUGUGUUGAAGUAGGUGAAUCGUAGUGCAUUCAAGAAGGCGACCGCAGCAGCGUUUUGAAGAUGCAACUUGAUAAUCCUAGGAAUAUAGCUUGCCAGUAGUGUGUUAUGUUAUCUUUUAUGUCAAAUGAAACUUCAUGUAAAGCAAAUCUUUUUGUUUCAUGUGUGUUUUCUAGCAUCUGCUGGCAUCAAAAUUUGUAUGACAAUCAUACGUUUGAGGAAUUACUGGAAAGAAAACUACUCAUGAAACAUUGUCUUUUUUCGGAAGGAUCAGCUUGUGAUAAUUGCUGGAAGAAGUAUUUUUCGGCUUGUAUGUCCUACUACUUGAAGCAAGCAACCUAUUUUUUUAGCCGAAUGCUUCUGAGCAAUCAAUACAUUUUGAGAAACACACUUUUUCCCUUUUUUUAA
rnacentral:rRNA from 1 species